rnacentral:misc_RNA from 1 species
AACUUUUAGCAAUGGAUCACUUGGCUCUCACAUCGAUGAAGAACGCAGCGAAUUGCGAAAAGUAAUGUGAAUUGCAGAAUUCCGCGAAUCAUUGAAUCUUUGAACGCACCUUGCACUCUAUGGUUUUCCAGAGAGUAUGGCUGUCUGAGCGUCAGCACAUUCUUGCGAUUAUCGCAGUUCUGGGCUCUCUGUUGCGUAGCGAUAUGUCGCGGCGAUGGUUGCCUGAAAUGCAGCGCAAGCUGUGGCUAGUCUGCAGUUGGUCAGCGAGUAUGGUUCUCUUUCGGGAGAUUAUGUACGCUGUUGUGCCGACUGCGAUUUGCAGCUGCGUGGCGUGCACUUGCGCGCUAACCCGUGGUGGUCGCACUCCGUGCUCCCCCACACCAUCUAGUGACCUCAGAUCAGCUGGGACUACCCGCUGAAUUUAAGCAUAUCAAUAAGCGGAGGCU